rnacentral:rRNA from 1 species
AGAGUUUGAUCAUGGCUCAGGACGAACGCUGGCGGCGUGCUUAACACAUGCAAGUCGAGCGGUAAGGCCCUUUCGGGGGUACACGAGCGGCGAACGGGUGAGUAACACGUGGGUGACCUGCCCUCAGCUCUGGGAUAAGCCUGGGAAACUGGGUCUAAUACCGGAUAUGACUCCAUAACGCAUGUUGUGGGGUGGAAAGCCUUGUGCGGCUGGGGAUGGGCCCGCGGCCUAUCAGCUUGUUGGUGGGGUGAUGGCCUACCAAGGCGACGACGGGUAGCCGGCCUGAGAGGGCGACCGGCCACACUGGGACUGAGACACGGCCCAGACUCCUACGGGAGGCAGCAGUGGGGAAUCUUGCGCAAUGGGCGAAAGCCUGACGCAGCGACGCCGCGUGAGGGAUGACGGCCUUCGGGUUGUAAACCUCUUUCAGCUCCGACGAAGCGGAAGUGACGGUAGGAGCAGAAGAAGCACCGGCCAACUACGUGCCAGCAGCCGCGGUAAUACGUAGGGUGCAAGCGUUGUCCGGAAUUAUUGGGCGUAAAGAGCUCGUAGGCGGUCUGUCGCGUCGGCUGUGAAAACUUGGGGCUCAACUCCGAGCUUGCAGUCGAUACGGGCAGGCUAGAGUUCGGCAGGGGAGACUGGAAUUCCUGGUGUAGCGGUGAAAUGCGCAGAUAUCAGGAGGAACACCGGUGGCGAAGGCGGGUCUCUGGGCCGAUACUGACGCUGAGGAGCGAAAGCGUGGGGAGCGAACAGGAUUAGAUACCCUAGUAGUCC